GAUGAACGCUGGCGGCGUGCCUAAUACAUGCAAGUCGAGCGAACAGACGAGGAGCUUGCUCCUCUGACGUUAGCGGCGGACGGGUGAGUAACACGUGGAUAACCUACCUAUAAGACUGGGAUAACUUCGGGAAACCGGAGCUAAUACCGGAUAAUAUAUUGAACCGCAUGGUUCAAUAGUGAAAUACGGUUUUUCUGUCACUUAUAGAUGGAUCCGCGCCGCAUUAGCUAGUUGGUAAGGUAACGGCUUACCAAGGCAACGAUGCGUAGCCGACCUGAGAGGGUGAUCGGCCACACUGGAACUGAGACACGGUCCAGACUCCUACGGGAGGCAGCAGUAGGGAAUCUUACGCAAUGGGCGAAAGCCUGACGGAGCAACGCCGCGUGAGUGAUGAAGGUCUUCGGAUCGUAAAACUCUGUUAUUAGGGAAGAACAAAUGUGUAAGUAACUAUGCACGUCUUGACGGUACCUAAUCAGAAAGCCACGGCUAACUACGUG
rnacentral:rRNA from 1 species